rnacentral:rRNA from 1 species
AUUGAACGCUGGCGGCAGGCUUAACACAUGCAAGUCGAACGAGUGGCGGACGGGUGAGUAAUGCCUGGGAAACUGGCUGAUGGAGGGGGAUAACUACGGGAAACGGUAGCUAAUACCGCAUACCAUACGAUGAGCCCAGGUGGGAUUAGCUAGUUGGUGGGGUAACGGCUCACCAAGCCGACGAUCCCUAGCUGGUCUGAGAGGAUGACCAGCCACACUGGGACUGAGACACGGUCCAGACUCCUACGGGAGGCAGCAGUGGGGACUAUUGCACAAUGGGCGCAAGCCUGAUGCAGCCAUGCCGCGUGUAUGAAGAAGGCCUUCGGGUUGUAAAGUACUUUCAGUGGGGAGGCGUUACCCACAGAAGAAGCACCGGCUAACUCCGUGCCAGCAGCCGCGGUAAUAC